rnacentral:rRNA from 1 species
AACUUUCAACAACGGAUCUCUUGGUUCUGGCAUCGAUGAAGAACGCAGCGAAAUGCGAAAAGUAGUGUGAAUUGCAGAAUUCAGUGAAUCAUCGAAUCUUUGAACGCACAUUGCGCCCCUUGGUAUUCCAUGG